rnacentral:rRNA from 1 species
UACGUAGGGUGCGAGCGUUAAUCGGAAUUACUGGGCGUAAAGCGUGCGCAGGCGGUUUUGUAAGCCAGAUGUGAAAUCCCCGGGCUUGACCUGGGAAUGGCAUUUGGGACUGCAAGGCUCGAGUGCGGCAGAGGAGACUGGAAUUCCUGGUGUAGCAGUGAAAUGCGUAGAUAUCAGGAGGAACACCGAUGGCGAAGGCAGGUCUCUGGGCUGACACUGACGCUCAUGCACGAAAGCGUGGGGAGCAAACAGG